rnacentral:rRNA from 1 species
AGCUCUCCGAGUGGUGUGGAUGUUUAUUGGGCCUAAAGCAUCCGUAGCUGGCUAAGUUAGUCCCUUGUUAAAUCCACCGAAUUAAUCGUUGGAUUGCGGGGGGAUACUGCUUAGCUAGGGGACGAGAGAGGCAGACGGUAUUUCCGGGGUAGGGGUGAAAUCCUAUAAUCCCGGGAAGACCACCAGUGGCGAAGGCUGUCUGCUAGAACGCGCCCGACGGUGAGGGAUGAAAGCUGGGGGAGCGAAC